NAAGUCUUAGCUUAGUUAAAGUGUCUGAGUUGCAUUCAGAAGAUGUGUGUUAAAAUUACACAGGCUUUC
rnacentral:tRNA from 1 species